CGCGAUCCCUGGGACGCCCCCAUUCCGAGGUAACUCCCCACCUCUGGGCCCCCUCCUUCCUGCCCUUCUUGGGUUCGCCAGAGGCGCUAAGUGGGUUUUUCUAGCUACCCUUCUCUACAGAUGGGGAAACUUGAGGCCCAGGUAGGCAGAAAGAUCUCUCACAGUCACUAAGCUUAGUUGCGUCCGCAUCUCCAAGAUUGAGCUACACCACGCUGUGGCUGAGCAGUCCCGCCUCCUGGUGCUCUCACGUCGGACCGCUCACUCCCUGAAGUUACCCUAUCUAGACCCAGGCAUUUAUAACAUGUGUGGCCUCCCUCCCCCUACGCAGCGCGCGCCGGCCCCCUAGAAGCCUUUCUGGGUUUAAGGGGCUGCCUACAGCGCCAGGCCCUACGUAAGAUCCUGCAAAUACAGAAUACUCGUUGCUGUAAGAUUAAUGUGUUGAGCCAGAUGCUUUCGGGCUCCAAACUAGAUUUUGAUCAUGCCUUGGGAUGUGGCAAGCCAGGUAUUUCUUGUUUCCCAAAUGACUUCUGGCCAGAUCUAAAUAAGAAUCACUUUUACAUUCUUCAUUUGAGCCACUCCUCAGCCUGUGAACGGUCAGCAUCAAGGGAUAGCAACAGCAUUUUACGGUUGAAAAGAGUGAGGCUCAAGGAGAUAAAAUGGGCUGAAGUCUUGUGGCAGAGCCAGAACCAGCACUUGGGAUUUCUGAUUGUGAGUGCCUGGAUAUUUUUGUUAUACCACGGGAUAAGUGAGGUCCCACCCCACCCAUCUAAGAACAGAAUGAUUCUGCCAGGAAUCUCAGGUAGCACUCUAACCUGGAAUCUGGUUUUGCUUGAAGUCAUAGGGGAAUUGGUGGGACACACCGAAAGGGUCUCUGGCUUCACGUUUUCACAUCACCCGGGUCAAUACAACCUCUGUGCCACGAGCUCUGAUGAUGGGACUGUGAAAAUCUGGGAUGUAGAGACAAAAGCAGUUGUGACAGAGCAUGCACUCCAUCAGGUACCAUGGCUUACUGGUUUCUCAGACCGUUAUUAGAUAUCUGUGCUGAGGGUUCUUUUGUUUCAAGUAUGCUAGCUCAUCUGUUAAUUUUUAUGAUAAUGUUCAUUAGUUGGAUGAGAAUAAGAUGCCUCAAAACUUUUUUGGAAGGAGAUAACAUAAACCAGAGGUCAGCAAAGUACAGUGUGCUGCCUGUUUUUGCAGAUUGUUUUUUUGGAAUACUACCACAGUCAAUUCAUUUAAGUAUUGGCUGCUUGCAUGCUACAAGGCAGACUUGGGUAGUUGCACUAGAGACAGUAUGGCCCACAAAUCAAAAAAUAUCUACUAUCUGGUUCUGUCCAUGAAAAAGACUCCUAAUAUAAACUGUAAAUGAGUGAAUAAAACUUGUUUCUAAACCAGAUGAUUACUUGAUAAACCUGCCUUUUCAGAGAGUGUAGAAAAGGAGAAGACUCAUUUAAUCUUAGUAAGAACUUUACAUUAAGUUAUUAAAGGAAGAAAUGGUUUUAAUGGUUCCUUGACCCUUAGGAGCUUAAAUUCUUCUACCAUUUGGUUAAUGUACUCUUGGCAUACAAGUGGUACUAACACUAAUUAAGUACCCCUCAAUGUGCCUAGUAUAGUACAGGUUUAAAAUGAAGUAAAAAUUCAGCAUUGACAAAUGAGAAGCAAAUGUGUGUUUGUUUUGUUUUAAAGCAUACAAUAUCAGCAUUGCACUGGUCUCCUCAAGUAAAGGAUUUAAUAGUAUCUGGAGAUGAAAAAGGAGUAGUUUUCUGUUACUGGCUUAACAGAAAUGACAGCCAGCACCUCUUUAUAGAACCCAGGACAAUUUUCUGUCUUACUUGCUCACCUCAUCAUGAAGAUUUAGUAGCCAUUGGGUAAGUACUAUCCCCUGCAGUCUGUGUCUGCAAAAAUAAAAAAAUUUAUUUUUGUUAAUGAGCAUAUUUUGCAUUUGCUUUAUCUUUUCCUGUCCCUUUAUUCUUCAAAGAAAAUGAUUUAUAGGUAUUAACCACUCCUUGGGCCCUUGGUAGCCUUUAUUCCUAUGACCUCCAGGUCCUCGCUAUCUCUCUCACUGUCUUUUUAUUUCCUUAGUUUCUUCGAUAAUGUACUUUGCUCAUUCUUCAUAUCUGAUUUCUUCAGUCAGCCUCCAAAUGUAGGAAAUACCCUCUUUCCCCCCUUUUCUCCCUCAGUACUCAGGCUUAGAGAUAACAUUUACUCCCGGAGUGUCAGAGGACUCAGUUCUGUCCUGGUUCUCAGCCCUCCCUCUGGAUUGGGAGAGUGUUUUGGCAUUGGGCUCUGCCUCCACCUUGAUCAAUCACCAAGGUUGUUUCACAUGAACUUCCUUGAGCAGGCAUCCCCCUUUCCCUCACCACUCCAUUUACCUCUAUCCCAAAGAUGUCCUUUCACACUAGUUUGAACACAUGACAUAAGCACUAGAGUGUUGGAGGAGAAAGUAUGGCGGGAGUGGACUCAAGAGACUGAAGGUGCAGUAGCGAAGGUACACGUGGAGACAGCAGACUUUUGUUUGUUGAACAAAUGUGCGUAGACAUGAAGCCAGAGAAGGUAUGUGGCAGUUAAGGGAAUAUUAAAUGGAAAAUAAUAAGGGCAUGUUUUUAUGCUGAUGGAAAUGAGGCAGAAGAGGGAGAGCUGAAUACACGGAAAAUGUAGUAAAUACAGGAGUGAUGUUGAGAAGUCAAGAGGGGAUUGGAUCCAGAUCACAAGUAGAAAGGAUAAGUGACAACAUGGAAAUAGGGCAGGUGAGUUUGGAGAUCUGGUUGGAAGAGGAGGGUGUUUCAUCUUCCUGGCUUCUGCUUUUCUCCAUGAGGCAUAAGUCAGAAGGUGGAGUCAGGUUCAGAGUGGGGCUGAAAGCAUGCAGAAAGAUGUGAAAAUAGUCCUCUCAGAAAAUAGGAAAAUGAGCUUACUGAGAGAGAAUGUAGGACAAAUGGUCCCUAUUGAGUGCCAGGCUAUGGAUCAAAGUUAUGAAUUCAAAGUAAACUAUUCAAGCUGAUUGAGAAAGACUUUGGUUGGAUUCAAGAACGUUUGGGGUUUUGUGGAAUAAAUACCUCUAGGAGAGAGGGCACAAAGGAGCUAAUGGUGUUUUUAAAGUUGUGAUCAUAAUGAUGGAUCAUGAAAUCUGUGGCCUGAGGGACAGGAUAGGAAGACAGGUGUGGGAGCUUAGUAGUGAAAUGGAAGGGAUCUGUGCAUGCAUGCAUUGGUGACCUGCUAGGUGAAGUGGCAGCAGUGGUGCACUGGGGCAGUAGAGAGGGAGCAGAAAAGGUGGCAGGUAGGGAUCAGAGAAGGUUGAAUCAGACCAACCUUGAAAGAUGAGCAAGAAUUUACGAGAAGAAAUCUUUCAGGUAUAAGGAACUGCAUAGACACAGGAUUGAAUCAGAAUGGUUUGUUUCUGGAGGAUCUUCAAAAUGGUGAUCCUUCUCUAAAGGGCUGAUUAAAAUUGCAGGACAGCUCAGUUACUGGACCAUAAGGUUGCAUAACUUGAAGGUUUUCAAAGUCUGUGUCUGCAAAGACCGAUAACAGUCUAUGAUUUUUUUUUUUUUAAAUAAAGCUGUAAUGGGGGGAAAUGUUUCUAAUAAAAGAAAAAUAAGUAGAGCUGGAAUGUGUUUUUUUCCCUGUAGGAUUGUCUAGUAUGUAGGAAAUGUAAAUAGGUACACCCGCUUUAGAGAGCAGUUUUGCACAUUCUACUAAAGCAAAGGUGUACACAUCUUACAUCCUGGCAGUUCCAUUACUAGGCAUCAAAUCUGAAAUUGUCUUAAGUGUGCAUAAGAUUAUUAAUGUCAUUUUUUUGUUUGUAAUAGCAAAAAACGGAAGCCCUUCAAAAGGGAAAAUGAAUAAACUUGUGCUGUCUUCAUCAAGGGAGUGCUAUCCAAUAGUACAAAUGACUGACCAGGAACUAGAGUUACAUGCUUCAACAUGGAUGACUCACUAACAGUGAGUGGAAAAAAAACAAUCUACAGAAAAACAGACCUCAUGAUACCAUUUCUAUGAAGUUUUAAAACCUACAAAAUCAUCUUCUGUCAUCUUUAGGAAUCUAUACAAAGAAAGGCUAGGAAUGUUGGAACACAGAAUUCACCAAUAUCAGUUUACCUCUGGGAAAGAGAGGGAAAGAGGUUUGAUUGGGGUGGGAUGUACAAAGGAUUUCAACUAUAUUGGUAAUUGGGUGUAUUCUUUUCUUAAGCUGGUUCUUGGGUAUUUAUGUGUGUGAAAAAACUAUUAGAAUUUCUCAGUUUCCUCUGAAUUCAAAAAUGAUAGUCUUGAAAUAUCCAGAUCUAGAAGCUACAGUACUGCAGCUUUUGUUAAGUUCAUAGUUAGAGAAAUAGGAUCACGUAUUUAAAAAGGGGCGGGGAAUAGGUUUAAGUGCGUUAGGUCAAAUUCAUCUGGAAUUAGAGGGAUUGCUGGGCCCCACAAAUAACCAUUCUUCUGUAAGUUCCCUUCAAACACAAGCAUGCUUUACACCUUGAGCUUGCAGUCAAUGCAGUAUUACUUAGUGCCAAGAGCUUGAUUGGAGAGGUGGGGCACAAAUGUGUCAGGACCACCAGGAAACAGAAAGUGAACACUUUGGAAAAAAGGACAAAACAAGAUUCUUUCUUUCUUCCCUUCCCUCUUCCCCCAAAUACACUUACCUUUUAGAAGUGUACAGUGAUAACUCUUAAGUCACUGUUCUGUCUUCAUUUUCCAGUAAUAUUUCUAACUCUUGUUUUUUAGCUACAAGGAUGGCAUAGUGGUUAUAAUUGACAUCAGUAAGAAAGGAGAAGUUAUUCACAGGCUUCGAGGCCACGAUGAUGAGAUUCACUCCAUAGCCUGGUGUCCCCUGCCUGGCGAAGAUUGUUUAUCCAUAAGUCAAGAGGAAAAUUCAGGUAGAGAUGAUUUAAGACCUAAAGAACAAUGUGGAUUAAACUGUAGCUUUUGAAUUACAUUUAAAACUUUAGCUCUUACAGAUCAGAUCUAUAAAUGUAAUAUCUAAGUUUUAGGAUCCCUUGAAAACUAGUUUUUCUUUUGACAAGUUCAUGUUUCAUGUAAGUUAAAAACAAAAUUACCAUCUCUACCCUAGAAGAACCUGCAAUUCCCAAUGGUAAAGUCACAGCACCAACUCCAGUAACAAAAGGCUGCUACUUAGCCACUGGAAGCAAAGAUCAGACCAUUCGAAUCUGGAGCUGCUCUAGAGGCCGAGGUAAGAUUCAUGUUUGGUGUUUCUUUUGUGAUAUAACCUAUAGUGACUGGUAGAAGUAGAAACUUUUUUAUUGUGUCUUGUUAUCCUAAGAGUGUGUCAUCAUCUAGAAGGCAGUUCUUUACUUUUCUAUCCAGAAAGUUGCUUCACCAGUUUAGCCUGGGCUAGAACUCCCUGUGCUCUGAACAUCUGACUUUGGUUUUGGACCAAAGAGGGUUUCUGAUGCGUUCAUAGAAGGGUCAUCGUUUGUCAUGGAAGGCAAGAUGUUGGUUAUAAGGAUAGGAAUGUUGGAACUUGGCAAGGCCUGAAUCAGAGGAUUGGGAAAGAUCUCUAGAGCUAAAGGUUUUAAUACACAAAUGCAGAAUAAUACGUACCCAGUGUAGAAGCGCAUGUUUAAAUGUUAAAGUUCAUUUUAUCCAAAUUACAGGGACCCUCAGUCAUUCGGCUUUCCCAGUCUUCUCUCUUUGAACAGAACUUUUGCCUUCAAUUUAUAAAUUGAGAGGAACUCCAAGCAGAGUGGAUGUUACACUUAUAGUAAAACUCUAGCCUUUGUCUUUAUAGCAGUCUUCUUUCUCUAUAUGCUUUAGUGCAUAUAAAGCAAAUAGCAUAGUGCUUGGCCAUAAUUCUAACAUAGUCAGUGGUAACUAAUAGAAUAAUUUUGGAAAAUGGAAUUUUUUUUAAAGAAUUUUGGACUGCUUUUGGAGAUACUAGGGCUGAUACUCCCAGGUGGGACAACGUAAGGCCCAGGAUCCCUCCAGAAGGGUAACUUCUAAACCUUUGUUAGAUUUCUUGCCACUCUCCCCUGCCAACUUUGGAGAAUCUAGAGUUGUGUUACUACCUGGGUUCACAAUUCCAGUUGAAACCCCAUUCUCCCAAACAGGCAAUAUUAAUGUGUGCUCAGGUUGCCAGGAUAGCCUAUAAAAAGUUUGUUUUACCUGAAUUAGACAAGUAUUAAAACUAUGUGUAAUAACGUUUCCAUGAGAAAAUGAGGUCUGCAUUCUAAGUAACCAAACUAACAAACUUUUAAACUGUACUGUGAACUGCUGGGGACUUCGCAUGUGUGUUUUCACUGACUUGAGCACCCACCGACUUUCUUUCCAUCUGCAGGGGUGAUGGUUUUGAAAUUGCCCUUUCUGAAGAGAAGAGGAGGGGGUAUAGACCCAACUAUUAAAGAACGCCUUUGGUUGACACUCCAUUGGCCCAAGGAUCAACCAACACAGCUGGUAUCCAGCUGUUUUGGGUAAGUUUUUCUGGUCAUGCCCUCUCUGACCUAUUUUGUUUUCCUCUCUAGCUUCUUGAGGAAUUCCUAGGCUCCUCUUUCUAGACAUAGAAGAUGGAAAAGGCAAGGGCUAAGGCUUAUACUGUGACAGGCCAUUUGUAAUGGAAAAAUCAUGGGACAGAUACCUGUGUUGUCUACUUACAGUGCUGAAAAAAGACCAAAUACGUAUAGCCUGGUAAUUAAGAGCAUGGACUCCAAAGUCAGACCAAAUUGCAUUUCCAAAUCAGUCUCUUACCUUCUAUGUGUUCAUGAGUGUGACCCUUCGAACUUCAGUUAUAUCAUGUGUAAAAGAGGGAGCUUAGAGAAUUCCCAUCUCUUUGGAUGAUUAUAGCCAUUCAUUGAACAGAAUUUAGUGAGUACUACCUUCUAGUUGUUUGAGGUAAUAAGUGAAUUUAGCAGAUAAAGGCCCUGAUUUCAAAUGAAAUGGUACAGGGAAAGCAGAUAAAAAUCCCCCCCUAAAAUGCUGGUCAUGGCCCUACUCUCCCACACCAUCCCAAAAAAGAGAGAGUAUAGUAUGUGUUUAAGCUUUGGGGCUGUGCAAAUUAUGGUGGCAUUUUACUAUUAAAACUGUUAGGAAAAUCUGUUCCAGAGGAAGUGCAGCACAUUGACGGGGUUCAAAAUAAGGUAAGAACCAGAGUUGCUCUGUCUCAAGCAACUAGGUUCCCUUCCCCAUAGACAGUGACACCUUGUUUUUUUGUGUGUUCUUUCUGAGCUGUUCUGUGCACAUUUCAGAAUAUGCAAUUUUUUUCUCCUUAAAAGAACAACUGAUAGAAAUUAUUUGGCAACUGAGGGCCCACACUCUCCCCACAUCUCUUGUUUCCAGAUUGCUUGUGAAAGAGAACUAGUGCUUGUUUUUCCUCACAGAGGUGAGCUGUUGCUGUGGGAUCUCACUCAGUCCUGGAGACGGAAAUAUACCCUCUUUAGUGCUUCAUCAGAAGGGCAGAAUCAUUCAAGAAUUGUGUUUAACUUAUGCCCUUUACAAACGGAGGACGACAAACAGCUGCUGCUUUCCACAUCAAUGGAUAGAGAUGUAAGCACUGCUUAGUUUGCAUUCACCAUUGUAGGGCCCGUGAUUUAGGAAUUGGAUAGGAUCAGAGGGCUUUUCAAACCAUCCAUCAGUUCUCACGCCCCGCCUUACACCCCCACGCCCAGCCCAAUCUCAGAGUUACUGUUACUGUUACUGACCAGAGCUAACUGUGGGAGCAGCAGAGAGUUAGGGGAAAGGUGAGAAACCACCAAGAUGCCUUUUUGUUAGAGCAGCUAUGGUGAAAGAUCGUAGAUGUGUCCAGGGAAGGAUGCAUGAGACCAUCAUGCUUUGGCUUUAAAAUAUUCUUGUCUAUAGUUAAGGUAGCAGAACCAUCUGCUCUUGAUGAAAUCUCCAAGAGAGAAUUGGCUAUAUUUAAGAAUCUGUGACUUCAUUGUUUUGCAGUUAGGCUAGGCUUAUUUGAUAGACUUUGUUUUCUCCCAAACCUCUCUGUUAAAUGAGUGAAGAUUAAAAAUGUAGCAUUUCUCCUUCCCCUGGGGAUAAGAUAUUUUUGCUUUUUGAGAUAGCCCCUCUCAUUUUCCCACUGUCCUGAGACCAUCUUCAUUCUUAGUUAGGAUUUGCUAAAUGAGAUUACCAGUGCUGUAGUACAGUACAGUGGAAAGGCUGCUGGACUCUGGGAAAUGAGCGGCCUGGAUCUGGUUUAUUCAUUUACCCUGAAUUCACUUAACAUCUCUGGGAAUGAAUAUAUUCUAAGAUCCCUUUGGGCCUACAAUUUAUUACUUUUUCUUUUCCUAAGAGAUACUUUUCCUACUACCUAUUAGAAUAAAUUAUAUUUGUAUAUUAUAAUAUAUAUUCUUUAUAUGUUUUUAUUAUAUAUUCUUUAUAUUACCCAUUCUUUGAGUCCAUCCUGUUUGAGAUGUUGAUUCUUUUUCCUGUUUUUCUGAUUUUUUUUUUUUUUUUUUUUACAUUUAAACCCUAACCCUGGAUAUUUUUAGGUAAAAUGUUGGGACAUGGCCACCCUAGAGUGCUGCUGGUCCCUGCCUUCCCUUGGUGGAUUUGCCUACAGCCUGGCUUUCUCUCCUGUGGACAUGGG
rnacentral:lncRNA from 1 species